UAUAAACUCAAGGCUACCAUUCGUGCAGUAUACUAACAUUCUAUGAAAUAUAUAUAUUUCUACCAACUAUCUUCUAGCUUCUAUAUAAAUUGUCAGAUCGGUUUCAAAUUUGACCAGUAUAAUCAGGGCAGACGUAUCCCGUUACACUGAAAUUUCGAAAUGUAUUAUGUAACACGUGCAUAUAUGCGCAUACAUCAAUGUCUUCUGUCGCAAGUGUUCAAAUUACUUUCGUCGGCUACUGUAUAUGUGCAAGCGACAAAGUAAAUCUGUAUUCAUAGAGCACGACAGGACGACGAGAGGCGAUUCAAUAGACCAGCCACGGACGAGUCGAACAAAUCGAACGGAGGAUGCUUUAUAUAGCGAAAGAACGCGUACAUCGCGUAUUGCGUCUUCGAAUGGACAGUCCUCGGACGGAAACCGCGUCGCGUUGAUUUAUAAUGCGAUACCUAUUGACGGCUGUCCAUGGAAAACAAGGUGCGUGUUAAGGCCUUACACAUAUACACGUAAAUGAAUGUGUCUGUAUGCAAGGUUAUUGUGCGAAGUAUACAGUUGAAAUCUGGAGUAGAAUAAACAGACGUCUAUAAUGCCGCUGUCUGCAAGAGACUCAAAGGGGAGAUGAAGUUACUUGGCUUAUUCCGAAAUUGGGUAUCGGUAAUUCAUUUGACGUGGAUUGAAGAUGUUUGAGGAAUUGAGUUAGCGUUUCUCUUGAUCUUUUUUUUUUUUUUUUGAACGAAUAAAGGAAUACUUUUGGGCAUGAAAGAUAAUAAUUGAAAUAAUAAAAAAGUUUCGUGAUAAUAUGGGUGAUUGUUUAACGUGUUUGAAAUAGUUUGAAUGGGUUUGAAGAUCUGAAGUUUUGGAAUAAUGAACUGUCUUUCUUGCACAGUAAUAUAAUUUCCAUUGUUUUCUUUACGCGGUACAGGUACAAUUGGCGUAAUUUCAGGCAAAAAGUAGCGAAAAGAAGCAAUUGACGGAAGCCAAUUUAUCGUUGAUCGAAGUCAGAAAUAACAAACGAAAUAGCGAAAAAAGGAUUUGAGUAACCGCAAUGUGGAUAACUUAUUGGAAGUAAAACUUGCAGCGAAGAAAAAGUGGAAAAGCAAAAGGACUGCAAGAUAAAAUCGUGACGAAUGGAAGAAAGGUCUGGUGCAUCGACAAUGAUCAUGUUACUACGUCGGAAAUUCUGUCUUCAAUUGAAGAUAACAUCUACUACUGCCUACGAUCGUGCGGUAAGUUGCUUAAGUUGCAAAGCAAGAAACUGCACAGGGGAAUCACGUGCAACGUGAUUAGGAAAUUUUCCUUGGAGAAUAAAUCAGAAGGAAAUGGUAGCUGACGAGUUUAAGUUAAACGAACCUAAUGUUACGGUUACGGGAAUAAAUGUCUCAAUUAAGAAAAAGGUUUAUAAAACAAGCGCGAAAGAAUACACAAUUAGAAAAUCGUAUAUUUAUUGUCUAUGUAUUAUCCUGAUCAUUAAAAUACC